AAAGAAGGGACAGAGUUGGAGCUA
rnacentral:misc_RNA from 1 species